CUCUGUGACUCCUACGGGAGGCAGCAGUGGGGAAUAUUGCACAAUGGGCGCAAGCCUGAUGCAGCCAUGCCGCGUGUAUGAAGAAGGCCUUCGGGUUGUAAAGUACUUUCAGCAGUGAGGAAGGUGUUGUCGUUAAUAGCGGCAUCAUUUGACGUUAGCUGCAGAAGAAGCACCGGCUAACUCCGUGCCAGCAGCCGCGGUAAUACGGAGGGUGCGAGCGUUAAUCGGAAUUACUGGGCGUAAAGCGCAUGCAGGUGGUUUGUUAAGUCAGAUGUGAAAGCCCGGGGCUCAACCUCGGAAUUGCAUUUUGAAACUGGCAGACUAGAGUACUGUAGAGGGGGUAGAAUUUCAGGUGUAGCGGUGAAAUGCGUAGAGAUCUGAAGGAAUACCGGUGGCGAAGGCGGCCCCCUGGACAGAUACUGACACUCAGAUGCGAAAGCGUGGGGAGCAAACAGGAUUAGAUACCCUGGUAG
rnacentral:rRNA from 1 species